AUGCUUACCUCAAGAAGCAGCAGCUGCAGAAGCCCAGACACCAAGAAGCUGAGAUCUUUGGCAUCAAGAAGGGGAGAUACCAGAUUUCAGAGCAAAAGUAAAGUCUUAAUUUUUCCAGAUGGCAGCAAGUUUAAAGACAGUAAGAAGAAAAGUCAUGAACGAUGUUCCAUGCUUUAUGUGAGGGAAGAAGAUUUCAUCACGGAUGCCACUGUUUUGGUAAGCCAUACCGGCAUAGGUGUCAAACAAUACCAAGUCCACAUGUACGGCUCACUACAAAACUGGGUCCUGAGAUAUGAGUUCCUCAUCUCCCCAGCCCCAUCAUUAUACCUUCACCUCUAGCAGAAUGCUCAAGGGAGGAGGGACACCCACAAAAUUCUCCUUCACCGAGGAGUUUACACCCCAUGAUAUCAGAUACUGCACAUAAGACUGGUUGGAAUCCAGCUUUAAACCAUCUGGCUUUGGAGCUCCCAGACAUACAUUUAUCAAGAAUGUCUCGUAUUUUUGUGGGAGCCAUCUGGAAACAGAAAGACAAAGACCUUGGAGCUAUUAGAAGAAGCUUUCCGUGUGGGCACCUCCACUCCAUUCAUUGUUAAGCAGAUGCUGUUUCCGUGCCUGCUGCUUCUCCAGUUGCAAGUUCCAAUGUCGACACCUGCGCUGUAAUAUUUUAGGCAUCUGAAUCCUUGGCAGGGGUUAAGACUGAACUUCUUGGAGAUGUCACGUUCCCUUCCCUUCCUGUUAUCUCUCCCGCAGGCUCUUUUUGAUCCUCUUUUGUCUCCUUUCUUCUUCCUUGCCUGGUGCUCCCAGCCUCCUUUCUGCAAGGUUUUCCUGGUCCUUACCUUACUUUGGGAAAAGGAAUAAUAGAGCAGAUGCUGACUUUAGAUACAUGGUAGUUUCACAUAGUAUUUUAUACAGGUGGUGCAGUGUGUAACUGUUUCUAAAACUUUUUACAUGUUAUUUUACACAUUCAAUAUGUGCAUACAAUAAAAACUGAAAAUGGUACAAAAAGGUUGAGAAUUAAAAUUGCAUUUUCCUAUCACUUUUGAUAUCUAGUCACGUGUUCCAUCUUUUGUAGGAAACUCUUGCCCUUGGUUUCUUCUAUACAGUACUUUUGAGAGCUAGGAAGAUACGCACAUCCAAGCAAGUUAAGUUUGUACACAAAAGCUAGCAUGCUACAUG
rnacentral:lncRNA from 1 species